GACGAAGGGGGCUAGCGUUGUUCGGAAUUACUGGGCGUAAAGCGUGUGUAGGCGGUCCACUAAGUCGGGUGUGAAAGCCCUGGGCUCAACCCAGGAAGUGCACUCGAAACUGGCGGGCUAGAGUAUCGGAGAGGUUGGUGGAAUUCUCGGUGUAGAGGUGAAAUUCGUAGAUAUCGAGAGGAACACCGGUGGCGAAGGCGGCCAACUGGACGAAUACUGACGCUGAGACACGAAAGCGUGGGGAGCAAACAGG
rnacentral:rRNA from 1 species